UCCUUACUGGGGAUUUUAUUUUAUUUUAUUUUUUAAGAAAAGCAGGAUUAUUUCUCUGAUGAGAACUACUUUUUGCCUACAGGUCAGAUGAACAGCACAACACACAGCUCUGAACAAUAUCUGAGGCAACUUCAGUGAAGCAUGAUUGGCAGGAAUUAUUUAAUUGGAUAACAACAAGAAGAGAAGAAGAGCAAGAGCUAAGCAAUGUUUUACUUUCAUGGUGCCAAACUGUGGAGUGCAGAAGUCCUUGAGAAACCCUGCCACUGCAAGUCAAACCACAUACUGUUCUGGGACAGAACACAAUGCUUGCCUCUCUUUGGGAGAGUUGCACAGCCACCAGGUGAAGGGUCCCAAUGCUUUUGCUCAUCUACAACGAGGCAGCAGACUGAGAGGUCCCAAUAAAAUGAUGGAGACUCAUCCAGUCACAUAACAUGGUCCCCCUGUCCCCCUGGGACAGACAGUGGGGGGGGGGGGGAUCUUGCUGUUCUCGGAGACGUGAAGGAAAGUGCACAAGGGCCAGGGAUAUUGCUUCUGUGGGACGGAUCUUCAUCUCUGCUUUCCCUUCAUGUCUGCCCUUAAAGUGUUAACCACAGGAGUGAAAAAGAGCAUUGAUAUUUAAACAUGAGGAGGAGAGAAAGGAGUUCAUUGCAAGCCUGUUGUCCUCUGUGAAUGCUCUUACUUUCCAGCUGCUGUUAGUGGCCUCCCUUCCAUUUCUUUGCUCUUCUGUCAUGCUGUUUCAAGACAAUAACCUGCAGUUCUACACAUAUAAAUACAGAAAAGAGUCAGCUAGAAGAAACCUCAUUUUAUGAGGACUCUGGUUUCAGGAAAACUAUGAGUAUCCCUAAUGCUUUUCAGGAACCAUAAGCUGAGAAAAGGCCUAUUUUCUGGAACCCAGAUAGGCAGAGCAUAAGUAACAUGCCAGCUUGCUCAGCCCUUCCAAGUCUUCAUGGGAGACUUCAGGCUCCUGAGAAAGUUUCAUAAAUAAAAUCUCCCCUGGAGUUUAAGGCCA
rnacentral:lncRNA from 1 species